GCUGGUUACCGUGAUCAGAGAACGGCCUCAGGUUCAAAGCUCGGUGCACAGCUGGUGUGACGGGUGAGGAGGCUGCAGGCAUUGGACAACGUGUGGGAGAUUUACGAUGCUGGAUGUUUAUUAUCAACUCAUAACCCAAGAGGCCAAACGGGAAACAUUAGGUGGACGACACGUUGUGGAACUGCAGACCAGAGUGGAGAAGCAGAACGGAUGUCGAUUCAACAUUUGGCACAUUUGGAGAUAACUACUGACGGCUGUGGAUGUCGUUGGGCUGGACAGAGAAGUAAAAGAGAACUGCUUUUUUCUUUCACUUCCAACAACUCUUGAUAACAUUUGGCAUGAUCGAAAAUAUAAGAUUUUGCACAGAUUAUACCCUUUUCAGUCCUCCAGAGGGACACAUAUGGACUUCCAAAGUGGACAUCACCUUCUCCUCUGUAUUCAGUACAGAGUACUACAUGGAUGGUUUGUGAAGAAAAAGGGAUUUUAUCACUGAUUUGAAUCCUGACUAAACUGGACCUGAAUGUAGUCGAUCUAAAGCAGAUACUCUCCAUCUCCCUCGCAUCUCCUGUGCGAAUGGUACUUCUAAUGGAGCCAAGAAACGAGCAAAGCAAAGUUCUAGACCCACUGCACCCGGCCCGGUUGGCAAUCCUGAUGAUCUGUUUGAACCAUGUGGUCCACUGAGAGCAUGGAGCCAGAGAACGCCCACACCCAGAGAAGCUUCUUCACCAAGGUGGAUGUGCCCGACCGUGCUCACUACAUCGUCGCCUCAUUUGUGUUUGUCAUCGGGGCGCUGGGCAUCACUGGCAACGCGCUGGUUAUGUUAGCCUUCUACAGUAACAAGAAGCUCCGUAACCUGCCUAACUACUUCAUCAUGAACCUGGCGAUCAGUGACUUCCUCAUGGCUUUCACACAGUCCCCCAUUUUCUUCAUCAACUGCCUCUUCAAGGAAUGGGUGUUUGGAGAGAUGGGCUGUAAGAUAUAUGCGUUCUGCGGCGCCUUGUUCGGCAUCACCUCCAUGAUAACCCUGCUGGCCAUCUCUAUCGACCGGUACCUGGUGAUCACCAAGCCUCUGCAGAACGUUCACUGGGGCUCGAAGCGAAGAACCGCCGUGGCCAUCCUCUUGGUCUGGCUUUACUCUUUGGCUUGGAGUCUGGCUCCUCUUGUCGGCUGGAGCUCUUAUAUCCCGGAGGGCCUGAUGACAUCAUGUACAUGGGAUUAUGUCACAUUCACAUUGGCCAAUAGGAGCUACACGAUGAUGCUAUGCUGUUUUGUGUUCUUCAUUCCACUGGGAAUCAUCUUUUACUGCUAUCUCUUUAUGUUUCUGGCUAUGCGGAAGACGACCAGGGAGGUGGAGCGUCUGGGUACCCAGGUGAGGAAAUCCACCUUGAUCAAGCAGAAGUCCAUGAAGAGUGAGUGGAAGUUGGCAAAGAUCGCCUUCGUGGUCAUUGUAGUUUACGUCCUCUCCUGGUCGCCGUACGCCUGCGUCACACUGGUUUCCUGGGCUGGGUAAGACUUCUUUCAUAUGGUUUCAGUGUGCUUGUACAUUUCUAGAUAGUAUUCCUCAUUGUAUACAUGUUCCCUCUAAAGUAGCAGCCCUGCUAUGUUGAGAUCAGUGUUCUCUGAGGAUUUCAACCAUUCACCCCAGUGGUACUGCGUGUAGAGUGCAUUGCGUGUUAACAUGCUAAAUAUGUUGCUCAAUACAUUUUUCAUGGAAAAGCUGUUGUGGAGUCACGAUGUCAGCUCAGGGUUUACAAGUCAAAUUAUAUAGCUUGAACUGACUUGAGGUUCUGGUCCAAAUCUUGGUUUUCCAUCAAGCAUUAUGUUCAUUACCUUCGCAUUGAAAAUGCCGGAAGGUUAUGUUUUGAUCGCCCUGUAUUUAUUUAUUUAUUUAUUUGUAUGCGUGUUAUUCGCAAAACUCAAAAAGUAUUGAACCGAAUCGCAUGAAAUUUGGUGGGAUGAUUGUUUAUUAUCCGGGGACCAGUUGAUUAGAUUUUGGGAUCGAUCGGGUCAAAGGUCAAGGUCAAAGGUCAUGCACAGGUCAAAAUCUUUCGCAGAACUCAAAAAGUAUUGAACCGAAUCGCAUGAAAUUUGGUGGGAUGAUUGUUUAUUAUCCGAGGACCAGUUGAUUAGAUUUUGGGAUCGAUCGGGUCAAAGGUCAAGGUCAAAGGUCAUGAACAGGUCAAAUCUUCUUGAAUCACAUGGAAUUUGGUGGGAUGAUUGGUUAUUAUCCGGGGACCAUUUGAUUAGAUUUUGGGAUCAAUCGGGUCAAAGGUCAAGGUCAAGGUCAUAGAAAGGUCAAAAUCUUUUUUUUACCAUAGCACGAUACAUUUUUGUCCAAUUGGCAUGCAACUAAUGCCAAAAUGUUCAUAAUUCAAUGCCCAAUCUUGUGAUAUGCGAAGGUAUGCGCUCUACCGAGUGCUCGUUCUAGUUUUGUAUGUCAUGGUGCCAUUUAGAGUCAAAUAGAUCAUAAAGCAGGGAUGCUUUAGGACAUGGCUACCUUGUGAUUGACCGGUUGUCUGGUCGUUUUCGUCCACAACUUUAAUCCUUAAUGUCCGUUUUCAGUUCAGAAAAGUUAGUUGCAACCUUUUUGGCAACCUCGCAUUCGACUGUGAUCAGCUCCCCUCUCAGGUCACCUCUGGUCACAAAAAACAAGAUGGCAACGGCCAAAAGGCCAAACUCAAGGCUUCAAAACGGAAGUCCACAAACCAAUAUUAUAUACACUCUACGCUCAUAAAUAAUAAGCAGCAAACAAUUUGAAAGAUUUGCAUGAGUGCAGCCUGAUUUAGAUGCAUCAAAUAAUUCAUUGAGAUUUAGGAAUCAAAUGAGGCUCGGCUGGCAACAUUGAGAAGAGCCACUUUACAGCAGCACAAGAGUAACACUAAAGUUACAUCACUUAGGGAAAUAACCAGGAGGAUGAGGUGUCGUCAUGUAACCUUGAACCCCCCCCCCCCCCCCCCCACACACACACACAGAUCAGAUGGACUAAAUCACCCCUCUGUGUCAGCUCCCACAUUCAGGCUGAUCCUAGAUCAGGAUACUCCUCCAUUAUGAAACAACAUAUCAAAAGAAGAAGGAAACUUUGAUUUUUUUUCAAACUCUUGUUGUUCUGUCUCACUCAGUCAUGCCGACAUCCUGUCGCCCUACUCCAAGGCCGUCCCUGCUAUCAUAGCAAAGGCCUCUGCCAUCUACAAUCCUUUUAUCUACGCCUUCAU